CGGGUCUUGCCCGCAAGGCCUACACAUGCAAGUCGAGCGGAUGACGGGAGCUUGCUCCUUGAUUCAGCGGCGGACGGGUGAGUAAUGCCUAGGAAUCUGCCUGGUAGUGGGGGACAACGUUCCGAAAGGAGCGCUAAUACCGCAUACGUCCUACGGGAGAAAGUGGGGGAUCUUCGGACCUCACGCUAUCAGAUGAGCCUAGGUCGGAUUAGCUAGUUGGUGAGGUAAAGGCUCACCAAGGCGACGAUCCGUAACUGGUCUGAGAGGAUGAUCAGUCACACUGGAACUGAGACACGGUCCAGACUCCUACGGGAGGCAGCAGUGGGGAAUAUUGGACAAUGGGCGAAAGCCUGAUCCAGCCAUGCCGCGUGUGUGAAGAAGGUCUUCGGAUUGUAAAGCACUUUAAGUUGGGAGGAAGGGCAGUAAGUUAAUACCUUGCUGUUUUGACGUUACCGACAGAAUAAGCACCGGCUAACUCUGUGCCAGCAGCCGCGGUAAUACAGAGGGUGCAAGCGUUAAUCGGAAUUACUGGGCGUAAAGCGCGCGUAGGUGGUUCGUUAAGUUGGAUGUGAAAGCCCCGGGCUCAACCUGGGAACUGCAUCCAAAACUGGCGAGCUAGAGUAUGGUAGAGGGUGGUGGAAUUUCCUGUGUAGCGGUGA
rnacentral:rRNA from 2 species